UUCCCUCUUUCCACUUUCAUGCUAAAUCUCAGUCCCUUUCAACUUUCGACAGAAGAAGUACACGAAAUGUUUGCACAAACUCAUCUUGCUGCAAUAUUAGUCGAUAGAAAGAGUCCCAAUGAGGGUCUCAAUGCGACUCGACAUCGCCGUUGGAAUUAGAACUCGCAUCUCCGCUUCAUCCAUUUUGCUCGCUUCCUGAAACGCAACUGGACUGAGAAAUCAAGGAUGUUUCCCUCCAUGUCUUGUUGAUUAGCCUUGCCUUAUACCUUACGUGUUUUGACUACUAACCUAUUAUUUGUAUUUGUUUAUUUGCCGUGUGUGUGGGGAUUUAAGUUAAGUGUACUUAUGAUAUUUAAUUCUUGGGUUGCUUAGAGAUCA